UGUAUAGCCACUGCAUGGAUCCAGACAAAAUUGUUGCCCCUUUUUAUAAAAAGCACAUUUGCAAGGCUAUUUUGUAUAGUGCAUGCAGUAUAGAAAGACACUAUAUUUCACAGAUCUUCUAUAAACUAAAAAGCAUGACUCCAAUAUUAAUUCCAGUGGUACUGGGUGCAGUUAUACUUCUAGGAGUGGAUGUGUCUGGCCAGACGACCAUUGUAUCUUCUCUGCAAUCAACAAACAGAACGUAUGUAUGUCCAGGAGAGAUUGUUACCUAUGUCUGCAGUGGAACUGGAAAUCAAAUUAGGCUAUCAGCACCACCACAUGUUACUAAUUCGACCUCUCCUUUUUUGUAUGCGCGUGGAGACAGUCUUGGAACAGGAAAUAUAGGAAAUGGUCCUAUUGUAUCAAAUCUUAUUUCGACUACUUUACCUAUGAUGGUAGCAGACUUGAUAGUGCAAAAUUCUUCAUUGCCGGAGUUUACUGUUCUUUGCACUGUUCGUCCAUCUUCGAAUUCUAUAGAUUCUGAUGCUGAAGCCCAGCACAAACCUUCAGGUCCUCCUUUAGAAGUGAUUUCUCCUAUGAUUGAAUAUUUUUCCCCACCAAACGAAGUUAACAUGGCUGGUGUGCGAGUUACCUGGACACAUAAUAAUGGAAGUUAUGACCCUAGUCACUUCACGAUACAGGUGUUUGAGCCUAACACUAGCACUGCAAUUAAAUCUAUCGCUAUUUCUGCAGAAAGCAAUAGUUUUGAAGCAAUACUUGCUGUACCCUUUAGUGCUCCCAUGGAUGUCCGCGCACGUGUAACAGUGACGUCCAAGUGUAGCCAGACAACCGAUGGAGUUUGGACCAACACAAUUCCGAUAAAUAAAAGUAUAAAAACAGCAUACGUGUUCUGGGUACUCCUUUCAGCUGCAACAAUUGUCCUAACAAUAAUCUAGGUGUAUAUAUGCAUCCUGUGAAUCAAAAUUUGCAGGUAUAUGCUAUCAAGACUUAUACUUUUAGUGUAGAAAAAUUAUUGUACUAAAAUUAUUAUAGCUGUAAAUAAAUUCACCUGCAUGUUAGUGAGUUGAGUUGCUGAUGUUUUUAUGCAGGAACUAAAUUUCUGUGAUUCCAAGUUCUAGCUGUAGUUGUUAGGCUAGAUUAUGAUAUUAAAUUUUGUUUUUGUACUCAUGACCCUUUACCAACUUC